CCUACGGGAGGCAGCAGUGAGGAAUAUUGGUCAAUGGCCGAGAGGCUGAACCAGCCAAGUCGCGUGAGGGAUGACGGCCCUACGGGUUGUAAACCUCUUUUGUCGGGGAGCAAAGAGAGUCACGUGUGACUCCUUGAGAGUACCCUAAGAAAAAGCAUCGGCUAACUCCGUGCCAGCAGCCGCGGUAAUACGGAGGAUGCGAGCGUUAUCCGGAUUUAUUGGGUUUAAAGGGUGCGUAGGCGGUAAGGUAAGUCAGGGGUGAAAUGCCCGCGCUCAACGGGGUGAAGUGCCAUUGAUACUGGCUGGCUGGAGUGCAGAUGAGGUGGGAGGAAUGUGUGGUGUAGCGGUGAAAUGCAUAGAUAUCACGCAGAACACCGAUUGCGAAGGCAGCUCACGAAACUGCGAUUGACACUGAUGCACGAAAGUGUGGGUAUCAAACAGGAUUAGAUACCCCAGUAGUC
rnacentral:rRNA from 1 species